AGUCAUAUGCUUGUCUCAAAGAUUAAGCCAUGCAUGUCUCAGUACAAACUAAAUUAAAGUGAAACCGCGAAAGGCUCAUUAAAUCAGUUAUGGUUCCUUAGAUCGUACCCACAUUACUUGGAUAACUGUGGUAAUUCUAGAGCUAAUACAUGCAAACAGAGCUCCGACCGGAGACGGAAGGAGUGCUUUUAUUAGAUUAAAAUCAAUCGGCGGCAGUAUAGUUUCGGCUAUACUGUUCGUCGAACUAUUUGAUGACUCUGAAUAACUUUUAGCUGAUCGCACGGUCUUGCACCGGCGACGCAUCUUUCAAAUGUCUGCCUUAUCAACUGUCGAUGGUAGGAUCUGCGCCUACCAUGGUUGUAACGGGUAACGGGGAAUCGGGGUUCGAUUCCGGAGAGAGAGCUUGAGAAACGGCUACCACAUCCAAGGAAGGCAGCAGGCGCGCAAAUUACCCACUCCCAGAACGGGGAGGUAGUGACGAAAAAUAACGAUACGGGACUCAUCCGAGGCCCCGUAAUCGGAAUGAGUACACUUUAAAUCCUUUAACAAGGACCAAUUGGAGGGAAUGUCUGGUGCCAGCAGCCGCGGUAA
rnacentral:rRNA from 1 species